UCGCAUACGCUCCUCUUCAUCGAAAGCUUGCUUUCGACUUUCUCUCAUUGCAUUCCGUAAUUGCUUCUUCUCCAUUUGUGAUAGAUAUUCUUUAUUUGCGUAUCGGGAACCUUGUUCAUCAUCACUCUCGCUGCUACUUUGAGUAUCAACGUCAUGAAUGUGCCUACUUUCUUCUCUAAUGGACAUUAUAGCUGUUUCUUUUCUUUUUUUCCAUUAAUUCUCAGGCAGUUUUGCUCUCUUGAAGAUGUUUU
rnacentral:lncRNA from 1 species